CCUACGGGGGGCAGCAGUGGGGGAUAUUGCACAAUGGGGGGAACCCUGAUGCAGCGACGCCGCGUGGGUGAAGAAGCGCCUCGGCGCGUAAAGCCCUGUCAGCAGGGAAGAAAGUGACGGUACCUGACGAAGAAGCCCCGGCUAACUACGUGCCAGCAGCCGCGGUAAUACGUAGGGGGCAAGCGUUAUCCGGAUUUACUGGGUGUAAAGGGGGCGUAGACGGCGAUGCAAGCCAGGAGUGAAAGCCCGGGGCCCAACCCCGGGACUGCUCUGGGAACUGCGUGGCUGGAGUGCAGGAGGGGCAGGCGGAAUUCCUAGUGUAGCGGUGAAAUGCGUAGAUAUCAGGAGGAACACCGGUGGCGAAGGCGGCCUACUGGACUGCAACUGACGUUGAGGCCCGAAGGCGUGGGGAGCAAACAGGAUUAGAUACCCGAGUAGUC
rnacentral:rRNA from 1 species